rnacentral:rRNA from 1 species
AUUGAACGCUGGCGGAAUGCUUUACACAUGCAAGUCGAACGGCAGCACGGACUUCGGUCUGGUGGCGAGUGGCGAACGGGUGAGUAAUGUAUCGGAACGUGCCCAGUCGUGGGGGAUAACGUAGUGAAAAUUACGCUAAUACCGCAUACGAUCUAUGGAUGAGAGCGGGGGAUCGCAAGACCUCUCGCGAGUGGAGCGGCGGAUAUCAGAUUAGGUAGUUGGUGGGGUAAAGGCCCACCAAGCCAACGAUCUGUAGCUGGUCUGAGAGGACGACCAGCCACACUGGAACUGAGACACGGUCCAGACUCCUACGGGAGGCAGCAGUGGGGAAUUUUGGACAAUGGGCGAAAGCCUGAUCCAGCCAUUCCGCGUGCAGGAUGAAGGCCCUCGGGUUGUAAACCGCUUUUGUACAGAACGAAAAGGUUUCUACUAAUACUAGGAGCUCAUGACGGUACUGUAAGAAUAAGCACCGGCUAACUACGUGCCAGCCGCCGCCGUAA